UUCCCAUGUGCCUCCUUCCCUCCCUGCCCUUGCAGUAGAAAAGGUGUCAUCUGACAAAAAGAGAUAUAUGUAUAUAUUAAGUUAUAUUUUUCUUUUUUCUGUUUGUUAAUUCUUUCUCUCAAGGUAAAGAUUCUGGAAGGAAUUAGUCAACUAGAGGAAGACACUUCAGAGUGGAGGGUACUUCCAGCUUGAGAAAUGUGGCAGUGGAGUAAAGAAGUUUCUGUAGCAUAUGAGGGAAAAUUUGGAAAUUCAAGGGUAUAGCCUGGACUGGAAUGAAGAUAUGGCUGACCUGCUUAUCCUAAACAUGGAGGCUGUGAAAGGAACAAACCAAUACUCACUGGAAUACUGGGUGUCAGAAACACCCCCAAGAGCGCAUUACUCAUACCCUGACUGUCACGAGGAGCCAUUCUCUCUUACUGCCACCAUUGACUCCAUGUUCCUACACUCAAGGCUUUGUCAGCUGUGCAGAGGGAGCUGGCCAAUUACUCAGGUUAGUGAUUAAAGUGAUGUUGGCAUUCAUUCUGGUGUGGGAUGAAGCAAGGGUUUUGUUUUUAAUGGAGAUUUGAUGUGUUGGCAAUAAACACAUUCAACCAUUCCUCUAUUGCUGCCUU
rnacentral:lncRNA from 1 species